CUUCAUGUGCCAUGAGGACCUCUCUGCCCAAAGCAUAUUGUUUGGGGAAAGCAGAUAGUUCACCUGCCACUGCAUCAAUUGGUUUAGGUUUUGUAAAUGUAGCUGUCAGUGUUUCUUGCUGCUCCACUGAUAACUGUAAUAGUGCCAAUCUUUCUGGUGAGUAAAACCCUUCCAAAAUUAAAGAUUCUAUUCACAUUAUGAUAGAUCAUUGUCAAAUCACAUUUAUUUGAUCAAUUCAUUUUAUUAAAUAUAUAAUCAAUUAAUAUACACCCUUACUUUAUAGAACCCAACAAUGCCCCAAAUGGAUUAACAUGUGUUUCAUGUAACACUGUGACAGAUAUACAGUGUAAAACUACAGUGUCCUGUGUAGGAAUCCAGGACCGCUGCCUUGAUAAUACAGGUAAUGUGGGAAACAUCAUAGCGAUCCUUUUCCCUUCCCUUCAACAUGCUACACUCAAGGGUUGUGUCUCAAGAAAUCUUUGUGGACCUACAUCUAUCACCAAGUUCAACUGCUUUAGCAAUUCAGUGUAUCCAGCCAUCACAAAUACAGACUUCAGUGUUCUUCUGA